CCUACGGUAUGCAGCAGUGAGGAAUAUUGGUCAAUGGGCGCGAGCCUGAACCAGCCAAGUAGCGUGAAGGAUGACUGCCCUACGGGUUGUAAACUUCUUUUAUAAAGGAAUAAAGUGAGACACGUGUUCCUUUUUGUAUGUACUUUCUGAUUAAUGAUCGUCGACCUCCGUGCCAGCAGCCGCGGUAAUACGUAGGAUCCGAGCGUUAUCCGUAUUUAUUGGGUUUAAAAGGAGCGUAGAUGGGUUGUUAAGUCAGUUGUGAAAGUUUGCGGAUCAACCGUAAAAUUGCAAUUGAUACUGGCAGUCUUGAGUACAGUUGAGGUAGGCGGAAUUCGUGGUGUAGCGGUGAAAUGCUUAGAUAUCACGAAGAACUCCGAUUGCGAAGGCAGCUUACUAAACUGCCACUGACAUUGAUGCUCGAAAGUGUGGGUAUCAAACAGGAUUAGAUACCCGAGUAGUC
rnacentral:rRNA from 1 species